CGCAUGGGGGCUGCGAUCUCCCCACGAGGCGACAUGCCCAAGCAUCGCGUCCAGCUCAACCCCCAGCAAGGACGCAUCAUG
rnacentral:ncRNA from 1 species